ACUCCUACGGGAGGCAGCAGUGGGAAUAUUGCACAAUGGGCGCAAGCCUGAUGCAGCCAUGCCGCGUGUAUGAAGAAGGCCUUCGGGUUGUAAAGUACUUUCAGCAGUGAGGAAGGGUGAUAUGUUAAUAGCAUAUUCAUUUGACGUUAGCUGCAGAAGAAGCACCGGCUAACUCCGUGCCAGCAGCCGCGGUAAUACGGAGGGUGCGAGCGUUAAUCGGAAUUACU
rnacentral:rRNA from 1 species